rnacentral:rRNA from 1 species
CCUACGGCAUCGAAGCAGUCUAUGUCAUACUUCCAAGAAAAGCUUGCACUGUCAGAAACAGAUAAUGCCUGUACCAUAACCGACACAGGUGGGUAGGUAGAGUAUACUAAGGGGCGCGAGAUAACUCUCUCUAAGGAACUCGGCAAAAUGACUCCGUAACUUCGGGAGAAGGAGUGCCUUAUUUUUAAGGUUGCAAUAACAAGAUCCAAGCAACUGUUUACCAAAAACACAGGUCUCCGCUAAGUCGUAAGACGAUGUAUGGGGGCUAACGCCUGCCCAGUGCCAGAAGGUUAAAGAAGUCGGUUAGCAUUCGCGAAGCUGGUAACUGAAGCCCUGGUGAACGGCGGCCGUAACGAUAACGGUCCUAAGGUAGCGAAAUUCCUUGUCGGGUAAGUUCCGACCCGCACGAAAGGCGUAAUGAUUUGGAUACUGUCUCGGAGAGGGGCUCGGUGAAAUAGACUUGUCUGUGAAGAUGCGGACUACCUGCACCUGGACAGAAAGACCCUAUGAAGCUUUACUGUAACUUGAAAUUGAAAUUGGACUUUAUUUGCGCAGUAUAGGUGGGAGGCGUUGAAAAUAUUCUUGCGGGAAUAUUGGAGCCAUCAGUGAGAUACCACUCUUGUAAUGUUAGAUUUCUAACUUUAUAUCAUUAUCUGGUUAAAGAACAGUUUCAGGCGGGCAGUUUGACUGGGGCGGUCGCCUCCCAAAUGGUAACGGAGGCGCACAAAGGUUUCCUCUGAACGGGUAGAAAUCGUAUCUAGAGUGUAAAGGCAUAAGGAAGCUUGACUGUGAGACCUACAAGUCGAGCAGGGACGAAAGUCGGUCUUAGUGAUCUGACGGUGCUGAGUGGAAAGGCCGUCACUCAACGGAUAAAAGUUACUCUAGGAUAACAGGCUGAUCUCCCCCAAGAGUUCACAUCGACGGGGAGGUUUGGCACCUCGAUGUCGGCUCAUCGCAUCCUGGGGCGGUAGUACGUCCCAAGGGUUGGGCUGUUCGCCCAUGAAAGCGGUACGCGAGCUGGGUUCAGAACGUCGUGAGACAGUUCGGUCCAUAUCCGGUGUAGGCGUUAGAAUAUUGAGAGGAGCCUUCUUUAGUACGAGAGGACCGAGAAGGACAUACCUCUGGUGUACCAGUUAUCGUGCCAACGGUAAACGCUGGGUAGCUAUGUAUGGAGUGGAUAACCGCUGAAAGCAUCUAAGUGGGAAGCCCACCUCAAGAUAAG